UGCAAGUCGAACGAAGUAGCAAUACUUAGUGGCAGACGGGUGAGUAACAUGUAGGUAUCUGCCCUUUGGCCUGGAAUAACACGAGGAAACUUGUGCUAAUACCGGAUAAGUCUUUACAGAGAAAGCUUUAUGCACCAUUGGAUGAGCCUGCACUUGAUUAGUUUGUUGGUGGGGUAAUGGCCUACCAAGACUGUGAUCAAUAGCUGAUUUGAGAGGAUGAUCAGCCACAUUGGGACUGAGACACGGCCCAAACUCCUACGGGAGGCAGCAGUGGGGAAUCUUGCACAAUGGAGGAAACUCUGAUGCAGCGAUGCCGCGUGAGUAAAGAAGGCCUUUGGGUUGUAAAGCUCUUUCGUCGGGGAAGAAAAUGACUGUACCCGAAUAAGAAGGUCCGGCUAACUUCGUGCCAGCAGCCGCGGUAAUACGAAGGGACCUAGCGUAGUUCGGAAUUACUGGGCUUAAAGAGUUCGUAGGUGGUUGAAAAAGUUAGUGGUGAAAUCCCAGAGCUUAACUCUGGAACUGCCAUUAAAACUUUUCAGCUAGAGUAUGAUAGAGGAAAGC
rnacentral:rRNA from 1 species